CGGCUAGACGCCAUCUUGCUGGUUCCCGGCGGGUCUUGGAUGUGGCGGCCCCAGUGUUGAGGGCGUGGGCAAGGGUGGGGUGAGGGGGCGAGGCCGCGGCUGGGGCGGCGAAACUCUCCACCCCUCAGCCCCACCGCGUGGGACGGCGUGAACGAGGUGUCGGAGGGAUGUCCGCCUUCUCUGAGGCGGCGCUGGAGAAGAAGCUGUCGGAGUUGAGCAACUCGCAGCAGAGCGUGCAGACCUUGUCCCUGUGGCUGAUCCACCACCGCAAGCACUCGCGGCCCAUCGUCACCGUGUGGGAGCGGGAGCUGCGGAAAGCCAAACCAAACAGAAAGCUUACGUUUCUGUACCUAGCCAAUGAUGUCAUUCAGAACAGCAAAAGGAAGGGGCCGGAGUUUACAAAAGAUUUUGCCCCAGUUAUAGUGGAAGCCUUUAAGCAUGUUUCAAGUGAAACUGAUGAAAGUUGUAAGAAGCACCUUGGAAGAGUGUUAUCUAUUUGGGAAGAAAGGUCUGUUUAUGAAAAUGAUGUAUUAGAACAACUUAAGCAAGCUCUUUAUGGUGAUAAGAAGCCUAGGAAGCGAACUUAUGAACAGAUACAGGUGGAUGAGAAUGAGAACUGUUCCUCUCUAGGAUCUCCAAGUGAACCACCACAGACUCUAGAUCUCGUUAGAGCAUUACAAGAUUUAGAAAAUGCAGCCUCAGGUGAUGCAGCAGUUCAUCAAAGGAUAGCUUCUUUGCCUGUUGAAGUUCAAGAAGUAUCUCUUCUAGAUAAAAUAACAGAUAAAGAAUCCGGAGAAAGACUUUCUAAAAUGGUAGAGGAUGCUUGUAUGUUGCUGGCAGAUUACAAUGGCAGAUUGGCGGCUGAAAUAGAUGAUAGGAAGCAACUCACUCGAAUGUUAGCAGAUUUUCUUCGUUGUCAAAAGGAAGCCCUUGCUGAGAAAGAGCAUAAAUUGGAAGUGCGUAACCUUUUCCUUAUUUAGUGCUUAUUUAUUUUUGGUAGGAAAUUUAAAAUAUCUUAAUGUUGCUGUGCAUUUUGCAUUUUUUAUUUUUUGACAUGGACCUUUUAAGACAAUGGCCCAGGUAAGCCACUCCUUGCAUUUAAUUGAUUUAUUUUUACUUGAACCAAAUCAUUCUGCCCUAGUAAAUUUAGAAAUUUAUUUGAACCAAAUUAUCCUACCUAAAGUAAAUUUAGAAGUUUGGAAUUAGUAAAAUUGGUUGCAUUUUAAAGUCAUUUAUGUGAAAUUCUAGUAAUAGUAAUUCAUCUUAAUGAGUUUAAACUCUUAUCUUCAAGAACAGAAAAUAACAGGAAAAUAGCAGAGGGUAUAAAGCCUGGUGUCAACUACAGUAAAUUAUGGUUGGAUUUACUUAAUCUCUUUUCUGAGUGCAUACAGUCUUUUGGGAAUACAAUUAAGAAACAAAGACUUUUUGUUAUGGAUAUGCCAGUCCCCAGUCUCUCUGUUUUUGAACAAUUCAUCAUUUGGCUCAGGAAAGUAAUCUUCAAGUUACUCUUUUGUUCCAUCCCUGAUUUUAAUACUUAGUAUAUUCCUACCCAGCUCCCAGCUCUGACAUACCCUUAGGUAGAAAGUUACUGCUUCUUUAAAUUGAAUGAUGAUUGAUAUUGUUGAAUAGAAAUGUGGAGGUGCAGAGGUUAAAAAAAACACUGUCAUAGUUCCUUUGAGCAGAGCAGCCAUUGUCAGGGGCAGAUGAACCAGAUUUGGUUUUAUUUAAAAGAAUCUUUCAUUUGAUUAGUCCUUGUUUAAAUUGUUUGCUACUAGAGUAAUUUCUUUUUCUAAUAAUAUGUAGGAGAAUUUCUAGUAUGUCUGGUCCCCCUUUUAAAGAGACAGUUCCCUUUAAAUUUGUAGGUAUGUCAUGAUGCUGCCUCUUAAUCUUUUAAGUAGCUUUUAUUUAUUAGAGCUUAGUUCUUGUUUCUUUAGUCUCUAAGUGUGCCAAAGAUGAAUACCAUUUCUACCUGUGGUAGCAGCUAAUUGGUUAAGUAUCAGUGGCAGAGCUCUCCUAUCCCAGAUUGUCAGCACUGUUUAGCAUUACCCCUUUUUAGUCUGUUCCUCCUCUGCUCACAUUUAGACACUCAGAACCUAGUUUUUGGCAUUGUGCUCUACCCUUGGAGAGGUUGCCCAAUUUUAUAUAGAAUGGAAAAGGCAGAAUUUUUCAAAAAAUAGCAUUUGUAGUUAACUUGCCAGUUCUUGAUCUUGUGAUGCUAUUUCAAUCCAAAACGUACUAUUACUUGUUUUGUUGUUAGCAGAAUUAAGGGUAAGUAAUGUCAUUCAAUUUUUGUCUUUAGUCUUUUGGAAUGGUUUCUUUAACUUCUAUUGAGCUUCUGUUGCAGGUAUUGGACAUGGGCGUAUCUUCUAACGAUGUCAUCAUCAUUAGCAUAUUCUUCCUGCUAAAAAUAAAUAAUCAAACUCCAAAGCCUGAAUUGUCUCAUGUUUUUGAAAAUUGGAGAUUACUUCUUUCUCACUUAAACUUCCUCAUAUAUCACCAGUUACAAAAAUAGCAUUUAUGUUUGAAAUGUAAGUGUAGAAAAAAAUAUAAGCUACCAUCCCAUCUAACCCCUUCUUUUCCCAGUGCCUUCCAGCCAGAUUUCAUGAUUGAUAAUUAUGGGGCCUGAGGCUGAUGAUAAUAAUGGCAGUAAAAUUCACCUUGUGUUAGGUACUGUUCUAAGCACUUCAUAUAUGUCAACUUAUUUAAUCCUGUAUAGCAGGAAAUGUUAUUAUCCCCAUUUAACAGAUGAAGAAAACUGAGAUAGAGAUUGAAUAACUUGUUCAAGGUAACAAAGAGGUAGUGAGUUGAUUAGAACCCAGGGAAUUUGCUUGCAAAACGACAAGUUUCCUUCCAGUUUUUACUUAUAAAAAUAUAAGACUACAGCAGUAGCUGAAGCACCAUCUCUCCAACUCUUUCUUCUUCCUCUUUCUACAGAAGUAAUCACUGUCUUGAAAUAAAGUGGUCUAGGGAAUUUUUGUUUGUUUGUUUUUCAUCAUGGCUGGGUUUUCAUAUUAUGAAGAAACCACCUAAAUAAUGUCAGAUGUUAACUUACAAGUAAAAAAAUUUAUAUUUCUAAUAAACUAGGAAGUUAUUCCAUAGAAUUCUUUGUAAAUUAUCUUUUUAACUAGGUGAUUCUUUUGUCAGAAGAUGUGAACGUGAUUUGAGAUACUUAGACAUCUUUUUGUAUCAAGUAGGUGGCAUCACUUUGAAGUUGAGACUGGGAGAUCAAGAUUUAUACUUACCUUAUCAGCUGUGAUAUCAUCAAAUAGUUUUCCCUUAUCAGGCAUCUUUGAACAUGAACUGUGAUUGACCAGGUAUUACUACAGAGAGCAUCUUGGUGAUGCAGGAAUACAAGCGCAAGUUAGCCAGGGUUUCCCUGGUGCGCAAAGAACUCAGGUCCCGGAUCCAGAGCCUGCCAGACUUAUCUCGAUUGCCCAAUGUCACUGGCAGCCACAUGCAUCUGCCCUUUGCGGGAGACAUCUACAGUGAAGAUUGAUGACCAGUCUCUUUCCAGGGCCCAGGACUUUGCAAGAGAUGGAGACAGGUUAGGUGGAUAGGCCUGUAGCGUUAUUUUUGUAUAUUGUUGAGAGAGUGACAUUAACAAAAGAAACAAGUAAUUUAUAAAAUUGUUUAAAAAUGUUGGUUUGUUUACUAUUUUAUUGGUAAGUUAACAUGACUUAGUUUAAACAAAGUGAUGAUCUCUGUGUAUUAAUAAGCUCACAAAUAGUGAUUAUUUUCAGAAGAUCUUUUUGUAAAUUUUUUUGAUCCAGGGCCUUGUGAGAAAUUCCAUGUUUCUAUUUCUUCAUGUAUUCGCAAGUGUUUUUCUUUAUUUUCUUCAAUAUCUAAUCACUGUAUAGUAUGUAAUUCCUAAAGGGUAAGAACUAAUCAGGAGCUGCUUGAGACUUUAUUAUGGUAUAGUUAGGACUUGAUUGUAGAAGGGACUAAAAGUUCCAACUUAAUUUUCACCCUUCUCCCCAACCAAAAUAUCAAUUCUGUGCCUCAAUCAAUACCUUUGAUUCCUUAUUCCUUAGAGGUCAGUAAUUUAACAUUAAACAUGGAUGUCAUUUUGAGGGUCAGAUCAGAACCUAGAGAACUUUACUACAAUAGCGUGAUAAGGGUUCCAUUCCAACUGCCAUCGUGUAGAAUAAAAGGAGUGUUAAUUAGGGACCCCCUUGAUUAAAACUGUUUUGAGUUAUUUGAAUAGAUUAACAUGAUAAUGCUUUGGAAAUGUCAUAAAUUUUGACAUUGUACCAAGAGAACAACUUUGAUUCUGGAACUGAUUUCCAUUUGUCAAAUCAGGCUCCUUUUAACAUAAUUGAUCCCUUUAAUGUAAAGCCAUCUGUGGGAUUAAAAGAAGUGUAAAAUAAUGAUACUUUAUUAUUCUCUUAGCCACUUAACUUUAAAAACAAUAGUAUUUUUAGCUCUAAUAUCUCAAGAACAAAAUAAUCACAAAUGUUCAGUAAAAUAACCUGGAACAUUUUUAAUGUUUCCUUACAGUUUUUGAAUGACUAUGUAUUUGAAAAUUGAGCAGUGCUACACUACAGGGUAGAUCUGGUAAAUAUUAUAUUUGUAUAUUUAGAAUUGCCAAGCAAAUGUACCUUGACCUUUUAUUUCUAACCCUGUGUGUUAGAGCAGUUGCAUGCUCUCCUGCUUUCUCUUUAACUCACAUUGUGAAACUGUGGAUUUUGUACUCAGUGAUGACUUAGGAGAAAUAUUAUUUUCAUUCAUUACAUAUUAGAUGUUUUUCUUUUCGUUGUAAGAAGAUUCAAAUUAGAUAGUCAAUAAAACAUCUUUUAAAUCCCACAAGCCAGUUAUGUCUCAGUAGUCUGAAUGGCUUCAUUCUCUUUCUCAGUAUUAGAGAUUAUAGUUAAAAUGAAUUUAUAUGUGAAGGAGAAGGCAAACAUUUAUUUUUAGUAGCCAAUAGUUUUGGGAACAGUGCUUUUAACAGUUUGACCUCUCUCCAAAAUAGAUACACAUAGAAGUAGUUCCCACACAUAUAUGGCUUAUAUCCCAAAGUUUUAUAGUCAACUUUAAAAAGGACUUGGGGCACUUUUUUUUUCUCACAGAAACAGUAGUAGUUAAGUUCCUUGUGAACACUACCACAGAAGACUAACCCAUGAACCUAAUCCACUUAACCAUGAAUGUACUUGACUUAUGAUGUAGUUGACAGGUUACUAGUAGUAGAUCCUGACCAGCAUUUGUAACAUCACUCUUCACUAAGGAAAUGGUGUGUAGCAGCCAGGCUCACACAUUAGGGUGUCUGUUGUGUGUACCUCUGUCCCUAGGUGUAGGAUACUUAAGGAGAAGAUGCAGCAUGGAGGUGGAGAGUGUAACAAAUGCACAAUUAUAGAAAAACCUGGUCACAUGUGUUAUAAAAUAUGCCACUUACGUUAGCUUUUGUUGUUAAAACGAAAGCAAAACCUUGUAUAUUAAUUUAUUUUCAACAUACUGACCAUCUUUAUGAUCUGCUAAAGUGAUUUAUUUGUUAAAGAUAUUUUCAUUUCCAUUUAAAACUAAUUUAUAAACUGUGUACUCCUGGGAAGAUUUGAAACUUGUCAAAAUAUUUUCACCGUUUAAGACAGACUUCUGACUUAGAUACUGAUUUUAAUAUCAGUAUCUGCUCUAAAUAUUUAUGAUAAAAAUGCAUUAUUUUUUUAAAGAGCUUGUUGCGAUUUGUGAUGAGUGAUAGCACUCAACCUGAUUCCUACCCCCAUUUUCACCCUUUGACAAAUCCUCCACAAGCCUUCAGUUGUUGGUUAAUUCACUGACUGUAAACACAAACGUUACAGUCUGUUUCAGAAGUUAUGUUGUCAGCCUUAUGGUAGUUAACAUAGUAAGCCUUAGCAGUAAAUAGUCUUCCUUUCUAAAAGGUAGAUUACAUUUUCUCAAGUAGUGGGGUUGGAUGGGGGUACUAAAAUACCAAAUUCUAAAUCAUGAGCAUUUUCUUCACUGUGUACGUGAGGUAAUCAUGCAUCUUUGAGUGUAGCUUCGUCUGGCCCCUCAAAAGAAAAGCACGUCACCGUAAGUGCAGUGGGGGUUUUUGGUUUGAAUGGAUACCAUCACUCUUUUCUCCACAAACAGUGCAGAGACCUGGCUGAGGUGGCAAUUUGAACAGAUUCCCUUGUGUUCCCUCUGCUUCUUCCGUCACUCCAGUAAGUAAAUCACCACAUGGGGGAACCCAGGGGUCUGGGAAAAUCAGCUGUGCUCAAUAGCCAACCUCCCCUUCUGUGAAAACCAGUGCAGGUGCAGCCAUUUUGGUACCUCUUCUCAUAUGCACUCCGAAUCAGGGUGUUUUAUAUGAACUUAUAAAGGAUCAGCAAAAGCUGGAAUAACCUGGUCAUCUUGAUUAGCGAAAUCAAAAUAACAAAACUGGGUUGUCAUUGUCACGGUAGAUGAGCAACUCACCUCUUUUCACUGUUGAACUGGUUCAGAAAAAUCUUCAGAAAGAAAACACUCAGAAGUACAAAUUGGGAAAGUUAGGAUGUCCUUUCUGAAUUUUCCUUUCAAAAAGUUUAUAUUAUAUGAAAUUACAUAAAGCUACUAAACUACUUUGUAUUCUAUUAAGAGGUAGCUCCUAAGAUGUAGUCUUGUUUAAUAGUUGUUGCACUAUAUCAAAGCUUUUUAAAGUGUAAACUCAGUUCUUCCUCUGUAGAAAGGGAGCAUUGUGUUACUGAAUUUAUUUAUGCAGAGCAUUGGUUGCGACCUGUAAUUCCAGCCAUCCACACACCAGUCUGUUCUGAGGUGGCAACAGCACACGGGAAGAUGAACUUUCCCUAUUUCUUUACCCCUUUUUCUUUGGUUGUAUCUGAUGACAAUAUGAGAUGUUCUUAAUAAAAGUUUUAUGUUCUUUUUGA